rnacentral:rRNA from 1 species
AACGAACGCUGGCGGCAUGCCUAACACAUGCAAGUCGAACGGGAUCCUGGUUUCGGCCAGGUGAGAGUGGCGGACGGGUGAGUAACGCGUGGGAACCUGCCCAGUGGUGGGGGAUAACUGCGGGGAACUGCAGCUAAUACCGCAUGAGCCCGCAAGGGGAAAGAUUGAUCGCCAUUGGAGGGGCCCGCGUUCGAUUAGGUAGUUGGUGAGGUAACGGCUCACCAAGCCUACGANCGAUAGCUGGUCUGAGAGGAUGAUCAGCCACACUGGGACUGAGAUACGGCCCAGACUCCUACGGGAGGCAGCAGUGGGGAAUAUUGGACAAUGGGGGCAACCCUGAUCCAGCAAUGCCGCGUGAGUGAUGAAGGCCUU